AUCGCAAGAUGACGUAUACGGUGUGAUGCCUGCCCGGUGCCGGAAGGUUAAUUGAUGGGGUUAGCGCAAGCGAAGCUCUUGAUCGAAGCCCCGGUAAACGGCGGCCGUAACUAUAACGGUCCUAAGGUAGCGAAAUUCCUUGUCGGGUAAGUUCCGACCUGCACGAAUGGCGUAAUGAUGGCCACGCUGUCUCCACCCGAGACUCAGUGAAAUUGAAAUCGCUGUGAAGAUGCAGUGUACCCGCGGCUAGACGGAAAGACCCCGUGAACCUUUACUACAGCUUGGCACUGAACAUUGAACCUACAUGUGUAGGAUAGGUGGGAGGCUUUGAAGACGUGACGCCAGUUGCGUUGGAGCCGUCCUUGAAAUACCACCCUUGUAUGUUUGAUGUUCUAACUUAGACCCGUUAUCCGGGUUGAGGACAGUGCCUGGUGGGUAGUUUGACUGGGGCGGUCUCCUCCCAAAGAGUAACGGAGGAGCACGAAGGUGGGCUAAUCACGGUUGGACAUCGUGAGGUUAGUGCAAUGGCAUAAGCCCGCUUAACUGCGAGAAUGACGGUUCGAGCAGGUGCGAAAGCAGGUCAUAGUGAUCCGGUGGUUCUGUAUGGAAGGGCCAUCGCUCAACGGAUAAAAGGUACUCCGGGGAUAACAGGCUGAUACCGCCCAAGAGUUCAUAUCGACGGCGGUGUUUGGCACCUCGAUGUCGGCUCAUCACAUCCUGGGGCUGAAGUCGGUCCCAAGGGUAUGGCUGUUCGCCAUUUAAAGUGGUACGCGAGCUGGGUUUAGAACGUCGUGAGACAGUUCGGUCCCUAUCUGCCGUGGGCGUUGGAAGAUUGAAGGGGGCUGCUCCUAGUACGAGAGGACCGGAGUGGACGAACCUCUGGUGUUCGGGUUGUGUCGCCAGACGCAUUGCCCGGUAGCUAAGUUCGGAAUUGAUAAGCGCUGAAAGCAUCUAAGCGCGAAGCGAGCCCUGAGAUGAGUCUUCCCUGAUACUUUAAGUAUCCUAAAGGGUUGUUCGAGACUAGAACGUUGAUAGGCAGGGUGUGUAAGCGUUGUGAGGCGUUGAGCUAACCUGUACUAAUUGCCCGUGAGGCUUAACCAU
rnacentral:rRNA from 1 species